rnacentral:rRNA from 1 species
AACGAACGCUGGCGGCGUGCCUAAUACAUGCAAGUCGCACGAGAAAGUCCUUCGGGAUGAGUAUAGUGGCGCACGGGUGAGUAAUACAUAGGAACAUACCAUUUGGUGGGAAUAACCACGGGAAACUGUGGCUAAUACCGCAUGGUGACGUGAGUCUAAAGAGGGCCUCUACUUGUAAGCUCUCGCCAAAUGAGUGGCCUAUGUCCCAUUAGCUAGUUGGCAGGGUAAUGGCCUACCAGGGCAACGAUGGGUAGCUGGUCUGAGAGGAUGAUCAGCCACACUGGGACUGAGACACGGCCCAGACUCCUACGGAGGCAGCAGUAGGGAAUUUUGCACAAUGGGCGCAAGCCUGAUGCAGCAACGCCGCGUGAGUGAAGAAGGCUCUUGGGUCGUAAAAGCUCUUUCGGCUGGAAAGAAGGGGUUGCCUGCGAACAGUUGGCAAUUCUGACGGUACCAGAAGAAGAAGCACCUGCUAACUACGUGCCA